GCGGCCACGGGUGGUGGCGAGGGGGUUACGCCAAGUAAACCGGGCUGCCGCGUAAACCACGCUUCGGUCUCUCCCGCAGGGCCCGGCACCCCGACACCGCCGCCUCCUGCGCUGGCCGGAGCACGGGGGUGCUCGUCCCGCACCAGAGGCCUGGGCAAGUCCCAGGCCAGCGGUGUGCGCGACGGCGAGGUAGCGACUGUGGGACUCGCCGGGCCUCGAAACCCGUCGCGAAGGCCUGAGAUGAGUUUUCUGUGCUGUAAGCUCUGCGAUGUCUGCUCAGACCCCACGCCGGAACGGUGUUCGGAAGCCGGUGACUAACACCGGCCUCUCACAGUCGCAUCAGGCUGCAAAGGAGUAGUUCUUACGGAUAACAGCUCAGGGGUGGUACAGUCCUUCGAGAGGAAACCAGAGAACGAUGACGCUGUUUGCCGCUGGAAAUGGUUAAUAGCCUAAACUUCUCAAAUCUCAUAAUAUAUCAAAUCAGUAUUAAAGAGUGACCUUGUGAUACUACUCAAGAGGCCCACCUGGAACUGAAGAACCACUUGUGCUGGACCCACCAGGACGAAGAGACACCCUGUGGUCCUCAUGGACAUACGACGUAAAGACCCAAACAGCAGCAGGAGCGUGACCUUCUCUGCCUCUUGUUGCUGAAUUUGCACUACUGCUUACCUGUCCCUGUAAGUUCUGUCUUUCAUACAACUCCAACAAAAUUAUGAAUAAAGCAAUGUUACCCUUAAAUCA
rnacentral:lncRNA from 1 species